CAGUCGCCGCGGUAAUACGAAGGGGGCUAGCGUUGUUCGGAAUUACUGGGCGUAAAGCGCACGUAGGCGGACAUUUAAGUCAGGGGUGAAAUCCCGGGGCUCAACCCCGGAACUACCUUUGAUACUGGGUGUCUAGAGUAUGGAAGAGGUGAGUGGAAUUCCGAGUGUAGAGGUGAAAUUCGUAGAUAUUCGGAGGAACACCAGUGGCGAAGGCGGCUCACUGGUCCAUUACUGACGCUGAGGUGCGAAAGCGUGGGGAGCAAACAGGAUUAGAUACCCCGGUAGUCCCUGUCUCUUAUAC
rnacentral:rRNA from 1 species